rnacentral:rRNA from 1 species
UCGAGCGCAGGAAACCAGUUGACCCCUUCGGGGUGAUUCUGGCGGAAUGAGCGGCGGACGGGUGAGUAACACGUGGGCAACCUGCCUGUAAGACUGGGAUAACUUCGGGAAACCGGAGCUAAUACCGGAUAGUAUUUCCUUUCUCCUGAUUGGAAAUGGAAAGACGGUUUCGGCUGUCACUUACAGAUGGGCCCGCGGUGCAUUAGCUAGUUGGCGGGGUAAUGGCCCACCAAGGCGACGAUGCAUAGCCGACCUGAGAGGGUGAUCGGCCACACUGGGACUGAGACACGGCCCAGACUCCUACGGGAGGCAGCAGUAGGGAAUCUUCCGCAAUGGACGAAAGUCUGACGGAGCAACGCCGCGUGAGCGAUGAAGGCCUUCGGGUCGUAAAGCUCUGUUGUUAGGGAAGAACAAGUACGAGAGUAACUGCUCGUACCUUGACGGUACCUAACCAGAAAGCCCCGGCUAACUACGUGCCAGCAGCCGCGGUAAUACGUAGGGGGCAAGCGUUGUCCGGAAUUAUUGGGCGUAAAGGGCUCGUAGGCGGUUUCUUAAGUCUGAUGUGAAAGCCCACAGCUCAACUGUGGAGGGUCAUUGGAAACUGGGGAACUUGAGUGCAGAAGAGGAGAGUGGAAUUCCACGUGUAGCGGUGAAAUGCGUAGAUAUGUGGAGGAACACCAGUGGCGAAGGCGACUCUCUGGUCUGUAACUGACGCUGAGGAGCGAAAGCGUGGGGAGCAAACAGGAUUAGAUACCCUGGUAGUCCACGCCGUAAACGAUGAGUGCUAGGUGUUAGGGGGUUUCCG